rnacentral:lncRNA from 1 species
AGCGAGCGCCGAAGACAGGCUGCUAGAGGCGCAAGGAGCCGCUGCCGUGGUGGCUGGACUCAACCAUCCUACCCACCGAGAGGGGAAGGAGGCUGGCACCGCGCAGUCCGGGACUCAGCCUGGCCUCGGGCUUUCAGGCCCCUGCUAGUGCUCCCGCAGGCAGCGCAGCGUUCAGUCUCUGGCGCGGCUGCGCGCAGGCUGGAGCACGGAGACUUGUUGGGCGCUCAAGUGGGAGAAGCCCACGCUGCGCACCGGGGAAAAACCAUACAAUUGGCCACGCGAGCGAGCCCGAGGGCUCUGUGGGGGCAGGCAGAGGCCAGCCUCCAUCCUUCUCUUUCUCUACUGACCAGAAGAAGACCUCUGCCUAAGUUAGGAAAGAAAUGCAGGUGGGGGAAGAGAAUGGGCCCAGCUGUGACUGAAACUGGGAGCAAAAUGGUGCUUUUAAAAGAAAUUAUAAAUUACCUUUGAAAAGGUGACUGUCUGCAACUAUGAUGAGCCUCUGACAGGUUCCUGUUCUGCUCCUGUUUAGUCCUGUUAGUGUUACCCUCAUUGCAAGCCCAGCUCUAUGUGGGAAACAAAAUGAAUCUAAACAACCCAACUGGGCUGCCACCCUGUUCUGGUUGUGAGAGCAGGAGAAUUGACAAAAGUGUAGUGAACCCCAGCAUCACAUCCAGCAUUCCUGCAAGAGGGAUCAGAAGGAAGUUCCUAAAAGCAGGUCUACUGCAGCCAGUGAGUGCACACAGAGUAAACUACUAGAAAAAGGCUGUAGGUUAAUUGAAAAAAUCCAAACCAGGUGAAGGCUAGAGUUCACAGAUGCUCCAUUCUUAGAAAGGAUUCGGGAGUUCUAGAGGAUAGGAUGGAAGGGGCCAGGGAUGGACAUCUCAGGCCCCCAGCAUGGGAACAUUCAUCCCAUGCUGACUGUGAGUUGUUCACACCAAGGAAUGAGGAUGGUGUGUGGAGGCAGGCUGAUGGCCACAUCAUCGCACCAGCAUUGUGCCCACUGUUAGGGGCAGAGUCACGGUGUGCCACUCAAGUUUAGUGUUCUAGAGCUUUCUUGCUCCCUGAAGCCCACGGAUGACGUGAGGGCAUGAGAGUGACUCCAAAAAUGUAGAGUCACCGGCUGUACCUUACCUUCCAAGAGUAACCAGAGACUUUAUCCAGCCUAGAAUCCUUCUCCUGGAGAUUGGAGCUCCCC